GACAGAGGCCUCGAGCGUUAGGCGGAAUCACUGGGCUUAAAGCGUGUGUAGGCGGAUCGUUAAGUGCCUUGUGAAAUCCCACGGCUUAACUGUGGGACGGCUGGGCAUACUGGCGGUCUUGAGCCAUCUAGGGGCGACUGGAACAAACGGUGGAGCGGUGAAAUGCGUAGAUAUCUGGAGGAACACCGGUGGCGAAGGCGGCAUCCUGGACCGGCAUUGACGCUGAGGCGCGAAAGCCAGGGGAGCAAACGGG
rnacentral:rRNA from 1 species